GACGAACGCUGGCGGCGUGCUUAACACAUGCAAGUCGAACGGAAAGGCCCUGCUUGCAGGGUGCUCGAGUGGCGAACGGGUGAGUAACACGUGGGUGAUCUGCCCCUUACUUUGGGAUAAGCCUGGGAAACUGGGUCUAAUACUGGAUAGGACCAUGCUGUAGGUGGUGUGGUGGAAAGAGUAGUUUCGGUAAGGGAUGAGCUCGCGGCCUAUCAGCUUGUUGGUGGGGUAAUGGCCUACCAAGGCGUCGACGGGUAGCCGGCCUGAGAGGGUGGACGGCCACAUUGGGACUGGGAUACGGCCCAGACUCCUACGGGAGGCAGCAGUGGGGAAUAUUGCACAAUGGGCGCAAGCCAGAUGCAGCGACGCCGCGUGGGGGAUGACGGCCUUCGGGUUGUAAACUCCUUUCAGCCAUGACGAAGCCCUUGUGGUGACGGUAGUGGUAGAAGAAGCACCGGCUAACUACGUG
rnacentral:rRNA from 1 species